AAUAAGAUGCCUGAUAAAAAGGACUAUUUUGAUAGAAUAGAUCAUGUAUAAUAUACUCUUAUUA
rnacentral:tRNA from 2 species